rnacentral:misc_RNA from 1 species
ACUGUUGAAAGAUGGAUUACGGGACUGAAUUAUUUGGCACACAUAUCAUGCCAGAAAAUAUGGCAGAAUCAUUGCCCAUGAUAAAUUAAUCUUUGCUAUAGUUAAUCUGAUGCUGCUUUAUAUCACAUAUAAAGCAGAUGAAGCAGAUGUUUUCACGCUACACCAUCCUAUUACAUUACAUUUGAGACUAAAACAAGCAAAAGAAACCAGUUUUGUUGGGUUCUUUCAACAGAAAAGUAUUGAGUACUCCUAUAGGCAAGUGUGUAUGCAUGUGUGGCAGUGUGGGUGCAUGAGAGAGAGAGAGUCUUUAAAACAACCCUUGAUGAUUGGCAAAUAAUUAUAGAUUAUGGAUUGGCCAUGAUACCGAUGGAGCAGCAACACACAAUACAUUUUUUGACUCAUUACAACUAUAUAUUUACUUACAACACAGCAACUUUUACAAACUGGAGCUCAUAUGGAAAAUUUGCAGCUGUUAUAUAAGCAGUGCGAGGUAGAUGCCUCUUCCCUAGAGUUGAAUACAAAGGUAUAGAAGAAGAACCAGCUGCAAAGCAAUGUAUCCCGUGUAGCAUUUCCAGUUGUGGAAUUCACACCGUCCGCAACUUUGCGAAGGUAUUCUCGUUGGUCAUCUCGCAAGGGCACAUCUGUGAAAUCUGAUCAGAUAAAAUGUCAAUCAAUUAUGAAAGUUACUAGGAAUUAUUAGCCAAAAACCAUGUGAAAUAAAGGAAAUAUAAAACAGUUCCCUCAAGUAAUUCAUUUCAUCAAUUUUCACCCUCACCAGGUUGCUACCAAAAUUUCAAGAACAAGUAAUUAUCAUUGACUAAUGUCUAAAUCAUGUACUUAUUCAAAUAUAAUCACCCCAGAUAUAUCGGUAGUUUGUUACCAUUAUAUUUGUAACACGGACAGUAAUAUUUCUGGGUUAUGCAACUGGAAGUUCAAUUCUUCCUUUCAUAUGCUAUCUCUACCGACACAGCAAAGAUGCUUUUUGGACAUCAUUAUCUUUUCAACUGGUUGAAAUUCUUGAUAUUUGAAACCAGAAAUUAGCUUGUCCACAUACCUGCUCCAGUUAUGUUUGAACCCCUAAAAGAUGUGUUUCCAGUAGCAAGUGCGCCUUCUAAGUUAGCAUUGCUCAAAUUUGCCUGCAGAAAGAGGUAAAGUCAUGCAGUAGGACAUCACCUGCAGCUCUAUCAUGAAAUACUAGAUUUAGAAGGUUAAUCUACAAGAGAUGCUAAUUGGCUGAGCUUCACCAAAUCAUUUUUGAGGCAAUAACUCCGCAGAUAGGCAAUGUCUAAUGAAUUACAGUGCACAAAAUACAUGGCAAGGUCAAGUUUGAUGACGAAUGUGGAGAAGUGAUAAAUCAUUGACAUUUCAAAAGCAUUCAUUCUCCAAAAACAAUUUACGUGGAAUGGUAACUAGAAAAUAGCCUUUUUACUAUUUCUUUAGUUCCUUCUCUUUGUACAUUUAGAUGAACUACUUUCAAUCCUAUUGUUGGGCAUUUAGAAUCCUAGCUAUUUGAGAAGCUGUUUAAAAUGAUCACCUUUGUCACAUUUGCCAAUGAAAAAUCUGCACCUCUAAGAUCAGCAUCUGAAAGAUCAGCGCCUGCAUUACACCCCAGAAAACCAAAAAGGGGGGGAGAAGAGAAGACAUUAACCAACUGGUCUAACAAGACAGUAACUAAAUUUAACAAGUUAUGAGCAACAAAGCUUAGAAAAAUGAAACAUUGAAUCUAACCACACUUAACAUCUUGUUUCAGAGGCAUAAAAUAUAUAAUUAUUUAAAUUUGGAUUAUAUGAUAGAAUGAAAGGCAAUCAUAUUCAACACAAAUAUAAUUUUAAUUGAUUUUCAAUCAUAUAUAAUCAUAAAAUGCUUAAAUAUAUAAAUAUAGCACAUGCAAAUCAUAUAUAUAAAUUAACUAGAAUCUAAGAACUACAUCCUUUGAAAAAGAAAUUUAGUAAUCUAUUUUAUAGAUAGAAUGUGAUAUAAAGAAUAUGACUAGAAAAAAAAAAAAGUGUCCAUCUCAUGUUCCACAAGUGUCUGAAUUCCAACACUCCUCCGACACAUACAGAAUCGUGUUCGACACUUGUCAAUGUAGUGUUGGAUGAGUGUCCUAUCAAAAUACAGACACUUCAUCAAAAAUAAAAUGCUUGGUGCUUCAUAGGUCACCACCACUUUAGCAUGUGAACUUCAAAGAAAAUAAGGUUCCUGUUUCCUCAUGAAAUUGGUUGCACAACUACAUAUUAAAGCAAUUAGUAUCAAUUGUAUUUCACUAAAAUAAUUAGAAAAAAAAAGGAUAAGAAUAAUAGAUGGAGAUUGCUGAACUCCCCUCCAGCAUACAUACAUCAACAUUCAAGGGGUGCAUACAUGCCCAACGGUCUGAUCAGGUUACCAUUCUAACGUCUCAUUUUUAUCAAAAUCUCUGGCCCACGAUAAAAUGGUGACCAACUCUAGCCCCUCCAUGACAAAUAUAAUCCGUUACCUUAUUCAAAGUAGUUACUUAUUAUUGAUUCUAUAUAAAUUAAGAGGUUAUUCUAUUGCAUGCAAUAAAGAACUUGUACUAAUUCUUCAGUUCAACAAUGGCCAUUUAUAAAAAGAACCCACUUGGAUUACAUCUAUAAAAAUAAAAGCAUGACAUUGGGUAAUGAUACAAAUGUACAUUAUAAGUGUCUUAAUGAAUUUGGGUGUGAAGUUGAGUUCCAAAAGGAACUAUGAAGAAUAAUGCCAAAAAACUUCACCCAAGCAUAAAAAGAAACAAGCGCCAAUUAAUACCAGCCAAGUGAAAGGAAAACCAUAUACAAAAUCCUGUUUUUAUCCUGCGUUGUUCUUGAAUAACUGGGAUGUUUUCUAGAACAAUACAUGGGGUUAAAACUUCAUUAGUUGACAAUGAAAACAAUAUUAUUAGUAAAAUUACCAUCUUUCUGGAUAAUGGACACAUGCAGCAAUUUUUUUUUAGUAAAGCAAAUUCAUUUUGUAGCCUGCAAAUCCACUUGUUUUCCUAUUAAAAUAACAGCCUUUUCACCCCCAAAACUAACAUUUUUCCCCAAAUAUAGCCACCACCCUAACUUGAAGUUGCCAAACCAGCUUUAUAAGUCCUCAUAGCUCCUUUGCGUUGCUUGGGAAGUGAAAUAACUUCUAUCACUUGCUUCAAAGGUGAAAGUUUUCUCGCUUAUGUUGCUUGCAUUUGAAACAUGGAGGCAUCAAGGAUACAGACCAUCCUAAAUCAAAGAACUUUGCCUAUACUGCUAUAGCAAAACAUCCAAUUUCAGAGUCAAUGGAGAUGCGUAAAGGUUAUCAUCCAUCCUAAACAAAAUCAAACACUCCUAAAAAUAAGGACCCGGUAAGGAG